CCGUGCUAAGGUAGCAUAAUUAAUUGUCUAUUAAUUGUAGACUGGUAUGAAUGGGCACACGAAUUAACUCUGUAUCAUAUAAAUUAAAUAAAUUUAUAUUGGGGUGAAGAAGCCCCAAUAAUUAUAAAGGACAAGAAGACCCUAUANAGCCUAAUGAUUUUGCUGGGGUGGCAUCGGAAUAUUUGUAACUUCUGAGAUAAGUCGACUGUUAGUCUUAUUAAUGAUCCUUAUAGAUUAAAAGAAAGGCUACCUUAGGGAUAACAGGCUAAUCUUACUUUAGAGCCCCUAUUCAAAGUACGG
rnacentral:rRNA from 1 species